AUUGAACGCUGGCGGCAGGCCUAACACAUGCAAGUCGAGCGGAUGAAGGGAGCUUGCUCCUGGAUUCAGCGGCGGACGGGUGAGUAAUGCCUAGGAAUCUGCCUGGUAGUGGGGGAUAACGUCCGGAAACGGGCGCUAAUACCGCAUACGUCCUGAGGGAGAAAGUGGGGGAUCUUCGGACCUCACGCUAUCAGAUGAGCCUAGGUCGGAUUAGCUAGUUGGUGGGGUAAAGGCCUACCAAGGCGACGAUCCGUAACUGGUCUGAGAGGAUGAUCAGUCACACUGGAACUGAGACACGGUCCAGACUCCUACGGGAGGCAGCAGUGGGGAAUAUUGGACAAUGGGCGAAAGCCUGAUCCAGCCAUGCCGCGUGUAUGAAGAAGGUCUUCUGAUUGUAAAGCACUUUAAGUUGGGAGGAAGGGCAGUAAGUUAAUACCUUGCUGUUUUGACGUUACCAACAGAAUAAGCACCGGCUAACUUCGUG
rnacentral:rRNA from 1 species